rnacentral:rRNA from 1 species
GACGAACGCUGGCGGCGUGCUUAACACAUGCAAGUCGAACGGAAAGGCCCUGCUUUUGUGGGGUGCUCGAGUGGCGAACGGGUGAGUAACACGUGAGUAACCUGCCCUUGACUUUGGGUUAACUUCAGGAAACUGGGGCUAAUACCGGAUAGGAGCUCCUGCUGCAUGGUGGGGGUUGGAAAGUUUCGGCGGUUGGGGAUGGACUCGCGGCUGAUCAGCUUGUUGGUGGGGUAGUGGCUUACCAAGGCUUUGACUGGUAGCCGGCCUGUGAGGGUGACCGGCCACAUGGGGACUGAGAUACGGCCCAGACUCCUACGGGAGGCAGCAGUGGGGAAUAUUGCACAAUGGGCGGAAGCCUGAUGCAGCAACGCCGCGUGCGGGAUGACGGCCUUCGGGUUGUAAACCGCUUUCGCCUGUGACGAAGCGUGAGUGACGGUAAUGGGUAAAGAAGCACCGGCUAACUACGUG